UUUGAAGGAGUAAUGUUUUACUUGUGGGGGUAACUGUUUGAGUUUUAUAGCAAUUCUUAUCUUACUAGAAUCUUAACUCUAUCAAAGAGGAGUUCUGGAUUGAGGAUGAUAAACCUUUAUAUAUAAAUAAAAUAGAUAUAUUUUUUUGAAUCCGUCCAAUAUCGCCGCUGUGAUUGCCGCAGCUAUGUACUCUUAUUUUUCUUGUCUUGCGACGAAAUACUACCCAUCUGAUGAUGUAGUGGCAAAGUUGUUCUCUUUUUUUUUCUUUAGUUGUGAUUUGUAUGAGCUCAAUUGCAUGAUCAUCAUCAGUGAUCAUCCAUCCAAGCAUCCAGGUAUAAAAAAUGAUGGCUUCUCAUGGCUGCCAUGUUUUUUUUAAUUUGUUGCUGACAACUAACAAGCAAUUUAAAGAUUGCUCUUUUAAUGCCCCGUUUACUUCAUUAUUAUUUUGCUUGUGAUGAGGAUGAUCUCACAUGAUCCGUUGAUUGGUUGUAUUGAUACUAUGACUUGCAUAUCACAGUAGCGCAAACUUGCUUUGAUUCCUUUCCUUUUUCUUUUUUUUUUUUUUCAUUAAUUUUUCCUUGGUUUGCCAUGAUCAUCAUCAAGAUCAUCAAAUUACUUUGCCCCUUUUUGACUUAGCACUUGAACAUACUGAUUCAUGUUGGCCGUAUGAUUUUACUUUGCCCCUUUUUUUGUUGCAUGUUUCACUUACCACGAAUCUUUGAAUAUCAAAAUUCAUGUUAGUUGCAAGAUUCACCGUAGCCCUAUGAUUAGUGCAGUACAUUUGCUUUUGAUUCAAUGCUCUUGUAAGAUUUAAUUUUUAUUUUUUUUCAACAAUUUUGAUUUUUGACAUACUUCGUUUGAUUUCUCCGAAAUACUCAACUUCCGUGCUUGUAUUUGGAGUAAUACUAGAAACUCGAGACAUGUGAGGUGAUGAUUUUCUCUUUACACCUUUUAGUCUGAAAUAUUUUAUCUGCAUAUUCCCUUUUUUGUGCAUGUGUACGCGUGUAUUUUUUUUUGUAUUAUAUGACAGGUUCACUUGAAGACGGGGACUUUAUCGCGAUGGGCCACAUCUAUUUAGCAUUGUGAGCCUAUCAAGGGUGUUACUCAUAUGUCUUUAGCACUGCGACACUGACACCUCCAGACAGUCCCUUGAAGACGAAGACGAAGUCCGGAAUUUUGUCGUGAUGGGCCACAUGUCUUUAGCACUGUGAGUCUGUCAGGGGUGUUAUUCAUAUGUCUUUAGCAUUUGCGACACUGACACCUCUAGACAGUCCCUUGAAGACGAAGACGGGGAUUUCGUCGUGAUGGGCCACAUAUCUUUAGCACUGUGAGUCUGUCAGGGGUGUUAUUCAUAUGUCUUUAGCACUACGACACUGACACCUCUAGACAGUCCCUUGAAGACGAAGACGGGGAUUUCGUCGUGAUGGGCCACAUGUCUGAAGCACUGUGAGCCUGUCAGGGGUGUUAUUCAUAUGUCUUUAGCACUGCAAUACUGACACCUCCAAACAGUCCCUUGAAGACGAAGACGAAGACGGGGAUUUCGUCGUGAUGGGCCACAUGUCUUUCGUACUGUGAGACUGUCAGAGGUGUUACUCAUAUGUCUUUAGCACUGCGACAACGACACCUCCAGACAGUCGCUUAAAGACAGUCAGACUCACCCUCAAGGGACUGGGUGGUCUGCGAAAAAAUAUGCUAUCGCUUUCCCCUUGACAGCCUUCUGCGGAACAUACACAAUGUCAUAUUGUUUCAAAAGCAUAGCGCACUUUGCAAGUCUGCCAGACAACACGGGUCUUGAGAAAAUGUAUUUUAUUGGGUCAGACCUUGAGAUGACAUGAACUGUAUGUGCUUGCAUGUAAUGUCUCAAUUUUUAGAUUGCAAAAAUCAAAGGAAGCAAAUUUUUUCAAUGCGGAAGUAAUUCAA